rnacentral:rRNA from 1 species
AGCGAACGCUGGCGGCAGGCUUAACACAUGCAAGUCGAACGCCCGGGCAACCGGGAGUGGCAGACGGGUGAGUAACGCGUGGGAACGUACCCUUUGGUUCGGAAUAACUCAGGGAAACUUGAGCUAAUACCGGAUACGCCCCGAGAGGGGGGAAGAUUUAUUGCCGAAGGAUCGGCCCGCGUCCGAUUAGCUAGUUGGUGUGGUAAUGGCGCACCAAGGCGACGAUCGGUAGCUGGUCUGAGAGGAUGAUCAGCCACACUGGGACUGAGACACGGCCCAGACUCCUACGGGAGGCAGCAGUGGGGAAUAUUGGACAAUGGGGGCAACCCUGAUCCAGCCAUGCCGCGUGAGUGAUGAAGGCCUUAGGGUUGUAAAGCUCUUUCGGCGGGGACGAUAAUGACGGUACCCGCAGAAGAAGCCCCGGCUAACUUCGUGCCAGCCGCCGCAGUAAGAC